AGUGAACGCUGGCGGUAGGCCUAACACAUGCAAGUCGAACGGCAGCGCAGUAAGAUUUUGCGGUUAUGGAUGGCGAGUCGCGUACGGAACAGGUAAACAUCCUAAUCUACUUUUUGGUGUGGGUUCAGGUAGCUAGACCUACUCUCAUACCGCAGCCGACCUUGCAUUGAAAGCAUUGGAUCUUUUGACCGUGUGCGACUGGACUAGCGGAUGUCGGAUUAGCUAGUUGGCGGGGUAAAGGCCCAGCAAGGCGACGGUCGGUAGCUGGUCUGAGAGGAUGAUCAGCCACACUGGAACUGAGACACGGUCCAGACUCCUACGGGAGGCAGCAGUGGGGAAUAUUGGACAAUGGGCGCAAGCCUGAUCCAGACAUACCGAGUGGGUGAAGAAGGCCUUCGGGUUGUAAAGCCCUUUUGUUGGGAAAGAAAAGCAGCAGGUUAAUAACCAGCUGUUCUGACGGUACCCAAAGAAUAAGCACCGGCUAACUUCGUG
rnacentral:rRNA from 1 species